rnacentral:rRNA from 9 species
UAAGAGAGUUUGAUCCUGGCUCAGGAUGAACGCUAGCGGCAGGCCUAAUACAUGCAAGUCGAGCGGAAACGAUGGGAGCUUGCUCCCAGGCGUCGAGCGGCGGACGGGUGAGUAACGCGUAGGAAUCUACCCAGUAGCGGGGGAUAGCCAGUGGAAACGCUGAUUAAUACCGCAUACGCCCCACGGGGGAAAGGCCGGGAUCUUCGGACCGGUCACUAUUGGAGGAGCCUGCGUUGGAUUAGCUAGUUGGUGAGGUAAUGGCUCACCAAGGCGACGAUCCAUAGCUGGGCUGAGAGGGUGAUCAGCCACAC